CAGCCGCCGCGGGAAUACGUAGGGUGCAAGCGUUAAUCGGAAUUACUGGGCGUAAAGCGUGCGUAGGCGGUGAGUUAAGUCUGCUGUGAAAUCCCCGGGCUCAACCUGGGAAUGGCAAUGGAUACUGGCAAGCUAGAGUGUGUCAGAGGAUGGUGGAAUUCCCGGUGUAGCGGUGAAAUGCGUAGAGAUCGGGAGGAACAUCAGUGGCGAAGGCGGCCAUCUGGGACAACACUGACGCUGAGGCACGAAAGCGUGGGGAGCAAACAGGAUUAGAUACCCCCGUAGUCCCUGUCUCUUAUAC
rnacentral:rRNA from 1 species